rnacentral:rRNA from 1 species
UGGGGAAUUAUGGACAAUGGGGGAAACCCUGAUCCAGCCAUCCCGCGUGUGCGAUGAAGGCCUUCGGGUUGUAAAGCACUUUUGGCAGGAAAGAAACGUCAUGGGUUAAUACCCCGUGAAACUGACGGUACCUGCAGAAUAAGCACCGGCUAACUACGUGCCAGCAGCCGCGUGAAUACGUAGGGUGCAAGCGUUAAUCGGAAUUACUGGGCGUAAAGCGUGCGCAGGCGGUUCGGAAAGAAAGAUGUGAAAUCCCAGAGCUCAACUUUGGAACUGCAUUUUUAACUACCGGGCUAGAGUGUGUCAGAGGGAGGUGAAAUUCCGCGUGUAGCAGUGAAAUGCGUAGAUAUGCGGAGGAACACCGAUGGCGAAGGCAGCCUCCUGGGAUAACACUGACGCUCAUGCACGAAAGCGUGGGGAGCAAACAGG